rnacentral:rRNA from 1 species
GACGGGGGGUCCAAGCGUUGUUCGGAAUCAUUGGGCGUAAAGCGUGUGCAGGUGGUCUUGUAAGUUGGAUGUGAAAUCCCCGGGCUUAACUCGGGAAGUGCAUUCAAAACUACAAGACUUGAGUAAGGAAGAGGGUCAUGGAAUUCCAGGUGUAGUGGUGAAAUACGUAGAUAUCUGGAGGAACACCGGUGGCGAAGGCGGCGA